GCGGGGUAGGAUUAGGUUAUCGAGGGGAUUUGCUCCCGCUACCGCAGGCCCUCGGUUUAGUGAGUGCGCUAGUGGCACCCGUUUGUUAUAGGGGUAGUAACAGGUUGCAUUGAUUUAGAGUCCACGCUAGAUCCACAGAUAGAUAACUCGAACACCGUAUUAUAAAGCUACUCGUAGGUACUUCUCUUAUCCGCCAAACACUACCAUACAACAGAAUAUCAACAUACAAUAGAAUAUCAACAUACAACAGAAUACA